GCCGCUCCUGCGAACCGGUUUCGCCACGGAGAGCCGGCAGAUCUCGGGCUGCAGCCGCGGUGCUCGCUUAGCUGCUUCCCGGGAAUCGCAGCGGGCUCAGGUUUGCCUUAAGUCCGGUCAGUGCCAUGAUCCGCCAGGAGCUCUCCACAUCCUACCAAGAGCUGAGUGAGGAGUUGGAUCAGGUGGUUGAGAACUCAGACCAGGCGGACGAGCGGGAAAAGGAGACGGUCAAAGUCCAGGGUCCAGGGAUCUUACCAGCCCUGGACAGCGAGUCCGCCUGCAGCAGCAUCCGCUUUAGCAAGGCCUGCCUGAAGAACGUCUUCUCAGUGCUGCUUAUCUUCAUCUACCUGCUGCUCAUGGCCGUGGCCGUCUUCCUGGUCUACCAGACCAUCACGGACUUUCGUGAGAAACUCAAGCACCCUGUCAUGUCAGUGUCUUACAAGGAGGUGGAUCGCUACGACGCCCCAGGCAUUGCCCUGUACCCUGGUCAGGCCCAGCUGCUCAGCUGUAAGCACCAUUACGAGGUCAUUCCGCCUCUGAAGAGCCCCGGCCAGCCAGGAGACAUGAACUGCACCACCCAGAGGAUCAACUACACAGACCCCUUCUCCAAUCAGACCCUGAAAUCCGCCCUGAUUGUGCAGGGGCCCCGGGAGGUGAAGAAGCGGGAGCUGGUCUUCCUCCAGUUCCGCCUGAACCAGAGCAGCGAGGACUUCAGCGCCAUCGAUUACCUCCUCUUCUCUUCUUUCCAGGAGUUCCUGCAAAGCCCAGACAGGGUAGGCUUCAUGCAGGCCUGUGAGAGCGCCUAUUCCGGCUGGAAGUUCUCGGGGGGCUUCCGCACCUGGGUCAAGAUGUCCCUGGUGAAGACCGAGGAGGAGGAUGGGCGGGAGGCGGUGGAGUUCCGGCAGGAGACCAGCGUGGUUAACUACAUUGACCAGAGGCCAGCGGCCGAAAAAAGUGCUCAGUUGUUUUUUGUGGUCUUUGAAUGGAAAGAUCCUUUCAUCCAGAAAGUCCAAGACAUAAUCACCGCCAAUCCUUGGAACACGAUCGCUCUUCUCUGUGGGGCCUUCUUGGCAUUAUUUAAAGCUGCAGAAUUUGCCAAACUGAGUGUGAAGUGGAUGAUCAAAAUUAGGAAGAGAUACCUUAAAAAAAGAGGUCAGGCAACGAACCACAUAAGCUGAAGUCGACUGUGUUGUUCGUAGGACUGCCCGAGUUCAUGGAAGUUCUCAUCACUUCUGCUCUGGUAAACCUAGCUGCCAGCAAUCCUGUCCUCACUUGAAGAAACGGGCCUUGCUGGGGGCCUGCCUGUCACACUGCAGCUUCUAACUGGUCCUCAGAGAGACAGGCUGUCUAGAGCCCAAUGGAACAGAUCCAAUGGAUGACCUAACUGAGCCAGAAAACAAAGAUGAUGCCUAUAAAAUAUUUAACUUAGAAGACUAUUUUGCACUCCAUAGUCACCGGGAACCCUUCUCCAGUGGACCACUGACCUACCUCAGCUUAAUCUCCAGAGUUCCUUAAAUGCAGGAUCAGAAACCUCCAGGUAAGAGUAAACUGAAUUAUAAGGGGCAGUGUAUCAAUACCAAUUAAAAAAAAGAGAAAAACUUCAAGUCUUUCUAUAAAACUACAGUGGGAAAAAAUUAAAUUGAAACCAGGAUAUCUUAUCCACACUUGGGAAGUAAUGAACCAAAUCAUAUAAGUACAGGGCUCAGGAAGAAAUGUCUGUGCACCACAGUGAAUAAACUAGAAGUCCUAAAAAGCCUUCUACUAAAAAGUGCCAAACAUCUUAAAAAUACAGUAUUCCCUGCUUAACCAUGGGAGCUAAGUUCCAAGACCCACCACUGGAUGACUGAAACCUCAAAUGGCACCAAACCCUAUUUUCUGUUCAUAUCUUCUAACCACAAAUUUAAUGGCUUUUCCUUAACUAAGCACUGUGGCCAUAACUUUUGCAGUCUGAGGUGUGACAGCAAAACUAGCACAAUUUUUUUUCCUUCCUCAGAAUUUUACAGAUAGAAGAUUCAUUCUUACCAUAGAUCUUAGCACCCUCAGCAUAUGCUUUUUUUCUUUCCUUAUUAAGUUGAGAACUUUCACCUUUUGCUUAAAGGAAGCACUUUACAGCUUCUCUUUGGCAUGUCUAAACUGCCAACAUCAUUACUCUCACACUUUGGGGCUGUUACUCAGUAAAAUAUAAGGGUUACUUGAACGCAAGAACUGCGAUACCAUAACAGUCUAUUUGAUAACAGAGAUAGCUCCUAAGUGACUAAUGGGCUGGAUAUGCUGGACAAAGAUAUGAUUCACAUCUCGGUGGGAGAUUUCAACAUUCUACUCAGAAUGGUGCACAAUUUAAAGCUUAUGAAUUAUUUCUGUAAUUUUCCACUUAAUAUUUUCGAACUGCUGUUGAUCCCAGGUAACAAACUGCAGAAAGCAAAACCGUGGAUAAAGGGGGACUAUUGUAAUAGGAAAAUAUUCACUUGCUACCACAAAUCAGAAUUAAAAGUAAUGUUUAGUUCAACUUACCUACUACAUCACACCUACAUCUACCUUUCAAGGAGAAAGGCAAAAACACUAAAGUUUUUUUCUAUGGUAACCUAAUAGCUAUAAAAGGCAGAAGUCUAGCCCAAAAUGUGCCUUAAUUUACUAGCUAUUAAACAACAUAUCAAGCUGGCAUCCUAAAAACAAAAAAAGGAGGAUUAGAUCCCAAAGUAAAAAUAGUCAUUCAAUAAACAUUUAGGUAGCCAGUUAGGCCACAAUAUAGAAGGGAGGCGGGGAAAAUUGCUACACUAAAUUUACAGACCUCACAUAUACAAAAAGCAUUACCAGAUCUGAGCUCUAUCAUUCGCCACAGAAUAGCAAAUUUUUACUGCAGUGAGUUCAAUAAUAUGCUAAGGCUAACAACAGUUUUGGGAUUUGAGUAAAUAUUGUUUUGUUUGAUUCAUCUUUGCCCAACUAUGCAAAAAGAGUGAUGCUUAUCUGGUCUAAUUAUUAUCUAACUUAAUAUGUAAUGUUAGGUAUGAAUUAAGAAUAAAAUGAGGGCUUCUCUAGUGGCACAGUGGUUAAGAAUCUGCCUGCCAAUACAGGGGACAUCGGUUCGAGCCCUAGUCCCGGAAGGUCCCACAUGCCGUGAAGCAACUAAGCCCGUGCACCACAACUACUGACCCUCUGCUUUAGAGCCCGCAAGCCACAACUACUGAGCCUGUGCACCACAACUACUGAAGCCCAUGCACCUACAGCCCAUGCUCCUCAACAAGAAAAGCCACCGCAAUGAGAAACAUACACACUGCAAUGAAGAGUAGCCCCUGCUCGCCGGAACUAGAGAAAACCCGUGCGCAGCAAUGAAGACCCAUUGCAGCCAAAAAUAAAUGAAUAAAAUAAAUAAAAUUUUAAAAAAUUUACCAUUCUACCCACCACCAGUCCCUCCCAUCAGGGGACAUGAACAAGCCUCUUAGAUAGCCUCAAUCCACCAGAGGGCAGACAGCAGAAGCGAGAAGAAAUACAAUCCUGCAGGCUGUGGAACAAAAACCACAUUCACAGAAAGACAGGCAAGAUGAAAAGGCAGAGGGCUAUGUACCAGAUGAAGGAACAAGAUAAAACACCAGA